ACAGUAAAGCAUUAUGUAAUGGUUUUAAUGGUCAACAGUUGAUAGUUUGUAAUGUUUGUAAUGGUAUUUGUAGUGGAAACCAUUAGAACCUUUGUGAUAA